UCCUCUUCUUAGUUGAAUUUUUCGAUCUUAGUUAACGAUCUUGGGAUAGAAGAAGGUCUCUCAAACUACACCUUUCUUAUGUUAUUCUAUACAUAUACAACGAUUGAUAGAGCAUAAAAGUAACGAUUGAUAGAGCAUAAAACGUAAGGAAAACAAGUAAAAGAAACAUAACUAAUAAAUAGGCGUAGCGAGGUUCUAAACGGCGUCCUCCGUCAGUGAGGAUGCCUUGAGAGCAAAAACACAUAGAUAGGAGUAAAGGAAAGACACAACUUAAAGAACACGCAAGAAAGUAUGCUAUAUUACUAAGAUCCUGAUUCCAGAUGAUUUACAAAUUGAGAGGGUCGGGGAUCACUAUUUAUUCUGUACAAUGGAUGAAUAGUCCCUACAGAUUGGGUUUUCUUUAGAAAGUCCUUACAGUACUAUACACCGUGACGCUUUGUCAGGUGUGUUCUAUCUAUUAUAUUUGUCAGGCAGUGUAUUUUGCAGAGAUUGAUACAAUAUGUGUCUGCACUUUUGAUGUAUUUUGAUGCUUUUGUCUCUUGUCAUUUUCUCCAUGUCAUUCUCGUCCUUCGCGGUCAUAUCCUUCACAAAAUAUCUCUCCUGAUAUUCCACUAAAAUGGAGUCCCAUCGAGAUCUUCUUUCUCACAAGUGGUCUCGUUUUCCCAUUAACAUAACUCCCGAGGGUCUUUUUCCAGUAUUAAUAGUCCCUUUGUUUCUGGAUUGACACGUCAGUGUAUCUCAAAGUAUGGAAUAAUUUCUUCUCUCUGCCAUAUCUGACAUGUUUUCCGAGCCUCGAAACAUUUUCUUUCUUGAUAUGCAAAAUCCCAAAACUGAUGCUCCACUUAGUAAAAAAAAACCCUUUCUUUGAUCCUCAUCGUUUAUUUUUUGCAUCUUAGUUCAAAAUAUUUCGUUCUUAUCUUUGGCUCGAUUCACAUCACUGCCCCUUUUGCUAAAAUACACUUAUCUUUUUGGUGUGCCUCCUGAAUCUUUGAAACUCUCGGUUAACAUGCUAUUUCUUGAUUUAUUCAGCUUUUCUGACGACUUCAAAAGUACUCCUAAUGAUCACAAAUUUAGCCCUAUGUGAGUCGGGUUCCUUGAUGAAAGAAAUAGACACACUCAUUAUCCAUUGUGAUGGUAUAUUCAUAAAAAUAUUUCCCGAGGGUGCCUGGCUAUUUAAAUAAAAUUAUGACGACCGGAGCUGAUCAGUUUGUCAUUUAUACUUACCUAUUUUCCCUCGGCCUUGGGAACCCAAUCAUUGAGUUGAUCGCAUCUUAUUGCAGUAGAUUCUAGCUUGACAUCAACCAGGCCAGUCCUAGUGUUUGGAGGAUUAUGGCUUGCCUUUAUGCUCUUUCACUCAAUACCAAUGAGAAUCUCUCAGUGGAUCUCUUCCUCCUCUUGUAUUCCCCAUGAUUGUUUCCCGGUGGUGUAGUAUAAUUGGUUCAUUAUGGUAAUUCAAGUGCUUAUAUGAUCCCAGUGACAGUGGCUAAAUCGAUGAGUUUGUUGUUUGUGGAUGCCAUAUAUUUAACCAAAAACUUCCCUAUGUUCUUCUAGAAUACCCAUCCCUUGAUAAGGCACCCAAAUAUGAGGAUUUUGGAUACGCUGAUCGAUACAAACCCAUGCAUGGGUUAAGGAAAUUCUAAAGAUUUUAGAUGUGGUAGCUCGAUCGUGGAAGAAGAUUGUUUUCUUCAAGGAUGGAAAGUAAAAAAUUAUGGUUUAUCUGUUGGAUCCAUCAUUCUGUCUUACUAGGAAAUCACUUCUUCUUCCUCUACUACUUUAAAACUACCCAGGAGGGACUUACAUAGUGAUCUUCAAGAAGAAGGGGGCCUUUGAUGGUGAACGAUUUCAAUGGCAAGGAUCAUUAUGGGGAGGCUUCUUCGAUGAAAUCAUUGUGGCAGAUCACUGUAUUUUGGAUCUAUAGUAGAUAUUUUUAGAAAAUAGACCUUGUUAUUUACGUUGAUUCUUACUUUGCUCUUUCCAUCUUCCACUUACUAAGUUUCAUUCAUGUAGGAGUCCUAUACUAGGCCAAAAUGUUGGACUUGAGAGGAGGGAUUCUGCGAAAAAAUGAUCGAUGGUGUCGCCUCGUCAUGUGCGUGACUCACCGUCAAGUCACUUGAUUUCUUUGGCUCAUGAUAUUCCCUCCUCUAAAAUCCGAGCAUAAGCGACUCUCACGAGCAUUCUUGCUUAACUUUUUUCGUCAAGUGAUUUUCUAGUUCUAGUUUGUGCUCUUUUCUCGUGGAGGUAGGUUCUUCUCAAGGUAUUCUCGGAAGUUGAUUUUUGAUCAAGGAUAAUUUGGAUGGAUAUAAAUUUAUCUCUCUUGGCAUCUCAGGGUGAUAGAGAGCUAAAUAGGUGAGUUCUCCUCGAAUGUCAUCUUAAUGACAUUUACUCACGCUAUUACUAAGGUACACAACUAGUAGUUCUUUCCAAACUCUUUCUCUUCUGUAUUUC